rnacentral:rRNA from 1 species
UACGUAGGGAGCAAGCGUUAUCCGGAUUUACUGGGUGUAAAGGGAGCGUAGACGGCAUCGCAAGUCUGGAGUGAAAGCCCGGGGCCCAACCCCGGGACUGCUCUGGAAACUGCGGGGCUGGAGUGCGGGAGGGGCAGGCGGAAUUCCUAGUGUAGCGGUGAAAUGCGUAGAUAUUAGGAGGAACACCGGCGGCGAAGGCGGCCUGCUGGACCGUGACUGACGUUGAGGCUCGAAAGCGUGGGGAGCAAACAGG